rnacentral:rRNA from 1 species
UACGUAGGGGGCUAGCGUUGUCCGGAUUUAUUGGGCGUAAAGAGCGUGUAGGCGGCCAGGUAGGUCUGCUGUGAAAACUCGAGGCUCAACCUCGAGACGUCGGCGGAAACCAUCUGGCUAGAGUCCGGAAGAGGAGAGUGGAAUUCCUGGUGUAGCGGUGAAAUGCGCAGAUAUCAGGAAGAACACCCGUGGCGAAGGCGGUCUGCUGGGCGGUGGGUCCGCGAGGAUCCAAUAGCCGGACACUGAGGCGCGACAGCGUGGGGAGCAAACAGG